ensembl:lncRNA
GUGACGGGGUGGGGUCAGGUCUCUCCGGAGGGGGCGUGUCUAGGACUUGCAGGAGCGGCCCCUGUCGCUGGAGACUGACUGCGGACCUGGGGGAUUUGGUGCCCCACAGUAUGAAGAAUCUUCCUUCUCCAAUCAGGGAAGAAACCUGUACCCCCUGGAGUGGAAGCAUGGAGUCUUAACCACUGGAUCACCAGGGAAGUCCCCACCAGCACAUUUAAUAUCUUCCAGGAAGAGUCUCCGGAGAAGGCAAGAGUGCUGGAGUGGGGUGCGUAUAAAAUACAUAUAAAAUAAGACAAAAUAAAUGACCAAAGAGAGAUACAGGCCAGAUAAAUAUGUUGGUAUUUCAAAGGAGUGAUUUCUUUACUUCAGCUCAAUACCAUCCUUUGCAAGGGUUCUGCAGGAACCCUUUGGUGCAAGCAUUUGUUUAUUUGAGAAACAGAGCCACCUAAGUGCCAGGGACUGGAGAUACAAAGACGGGGAUCCCAUUGAGAAGGGGGUCUGUCUCUCCCACGGUCAUUGGAGAGACAGAAUUAAAUAGAUGGAUAAAUUACAGUCUAGUGUGGUGAACCAAACAAUAAAAGAAAAAAAAAAGAUGAAACACCAUGGAAAUGC